ensembl:snRNA U6 U6 spliceosomal RNA
GUGCUCACCUUGGCAGCACAUAUACUAAAAUCAGAAUGAUACAGAGAAGAUUAGCACGGCCCUGUGCAAAGAUGACAUGCAAAUUCAGGCAGCAUUCCAUAUUUUA